UGAGGAAUAUUGCACAAUGGGCGAAAGCCUGAUGCAGCAACGCCGCGUGAGCGAUGAAGGCCUUCGGGUCGUAAAGCUCAGUCCUCAAGGAAGAUAAUGACGGUACUUGAGGAGGAAGCCCCGGCUAACUACGUGC
rnacentral:rRNA from 1 species